rnacentral:rRNA from 1 species
GACGAACUCUGGCGGCGUGCUUAACACAUGCAAGUCGAACGAUGAAGAAAAGAAUCGAAGCUUCGGCAGAAAUUCAUUUCGGAUUAGUGGCAGACGGGUGAGUAACGCGUGAGCAACCUACCUCUUACAAAGGGAUAGCCUCGGGAAACCGGGAUUAAUACCAUAUAACAUUGCGACGAAGCAUUUCGAUGCAAUCAAAGCUACGGCGGUAAGAGAUGGGCUCGCGUCCCAUUAACCGGAUGGUGAGGUAACGGCUCACCAUAGUGACGAUGGGUAACCGGCCUGAGAGGGUGAACGGUCACACUGGAACUGAGAUACGGCCCAGACUCCUACGGGAGGCAGCAGUGGGGAAUAUUGCACAAUGGGCGAAAGCCUGAUGCAGCGACGCCGCGUGAGGGAUGACGGCCUUCGGGUUGUAAACCUCUUUCAGUAGGGACGAAGCGCAAGUGACGGUACCUGCAGAAGAAGCACCGGCUAACUACGUGCCAGCAGCCGCGGUAAUACGUAGGGUGCGAGCGUUGUCCGGAAUUACUGGGCGUAAAGAGCUCGUAGGCGGUUUGUCACGUCGUCUGUGAAAUCCUAGGGCUUAACCCUGGACGUGCAGGCGAUACGGGCUGACUUGAGUACUACAGGGGAGACUGGAAUUUCUGGUGUAGCGGUGAAAUGCGCAGAUAUCAGGAGGAACACCGAUGGCGAAGGCAGGUCUCUGGGCAGUUACUGACGCUGAGGAGCGAAAGCAUGGGUAGCAAACAGGAUUAGAUACCCUGGUAGUCCAUGCCGUAAACGGUGGGCGCUAGGUGUAGGGGGCUUCCACGUCUUCUGUGCCGUAGCUAACGCAUUAAGCGCCCCGCCUGGGGAGUACGGCCGCAAGGCUAAAACUCAAAGGAAUUGACGGGGGCCCGCACAAGCGGCGGAGCAUGUGGAUUAAUUCGAUGCAACGCGAAGAACCUUACCUGGGCUUGACAUACACCAGAUUGCUGCAGAGAUGUAGUGUCCCUUGUGGUUGGUGUACAGGUGGUGCAUGGUUGUCGUCAGCUCGUGUCGUGAGAUGUUGGGUUAAGUCCCGCAACGAGCGCAACCCUUGUCUUAUGUUGCCAGCAUUUGGUUGGGGACUCAUGAGAGACUGCCGGGGUUAACUCGGAGGAAGGUGGGGAUGACGUCAAAUCAUCAUGCCCCUUAUGUCCAGGGCUUCACACAUGCUACAAUGGUCGGUACAACGCGCAGCGACACUGUGAGGUGGAGCGAAUCGCUGAAAGCCGGUCUUAGUUCGGAUUGGGGUCUGCAACUCGACCCCAUGAAGUCGGAGUCGCUAGUAAUCGCAGAUCAGCAACGCUGCGGUGAAUACGUUCCCAGGCCU